ensembl:lncRNA
AUCACUCUGUGAAAGAGCUGGUUUGAAGGAAGGGUGAGGCUGGUGAAUGGGCAGAGAACCAGGAGAGACAAACAGGCAAGAGUGGCUGGGGGAAGUAGGGCACAUGCUGCCUUUAAUCCAUUGAGCCUGACCUAGGCACUCGUUGAUGUCCCAAGGAAAUGUUCAAAGAAGAACCAAAUUUUUCAUGGGGUUUUAGUGUAUCCAACUAAAUACUCACUUUACCAGCCUCUGUCACUACUAAGUGGCUUUGUGAUCCAGUUCUCAUCUGAUAAUGAGAUGUAUAAAUGUGAUGGACCAGCAGUAGCCAUCUUGGAAACAUAAAGCAAGGAGCCAACAUGCUAAGAGAGAAUCCUCAACAAUACUACUUCCUCUACAGCCCGGAUGUAACCGCAACUGUCUUUAGCGUAAUAUACCCAGGCAUUAUGGGACUUUUCCCUGGGCCUCCAGAGAACGGAGGACUGGAACUCGGCCCCACCAGAAAUCAGACCAGACCAGAACCAGAAUUCGAGUUCUCUGCCAAGAGGAGGUGACCAGUCUCCAAUCCUCAGCUCAGGCUGAGGGCCCUUUGACCAGAUUCCUGCAUCCAGGACAGGGGGACUAGAAAAACAGGUCUGGCACAAAGAAGGUCCUUAAUAAUCAUUCAUUAAAGUUUUAUUUUGAAU